ensembl:snoRNA
UGCCUUUAUGUGUUGCCCAUUCAAGAACUGGUUUAUGAAUGUGGUGUCAGAUAAGGCAGAUAUGAACCCUGCAGGUGGUUUACAAGGUGUGUUCAACCUUGCACAUUCUGAGUUCCACCUUAAGGACAUUU